GUUGUAUGGUUAAGUGACUAAGCGUACACGGUGGAUGCCUUGGCAGUCAGAGGCGAUGAAGGACGUAUUAACUUGCGAUAAGCCCAGAUUAGGUAGUAAAAACCAUUUGAGUCUGGGAUUUCCGAAUGGGGAAACCCACUAGCAUAAGCUAGUAUCGCUGCGUGAAUACAUAGCGCAGCGAGGCGAACCGGGGGAACUGAAACAUCUAAGUACCCGAGGAAAAGAAAUCAACCGAGAUUCCGAAAGUAGCGGCGAGCGAAAUUGGACUAGCCCUUAAGCUUUUUAUGCGUCAGGUGAAACUUCUGGAAAGUUGUGCGAUACAGGGUGAUAGCCCCGUAACCGGCAACGCAUUUAAAGUGAAAUCGAGUAGGGCGGGACACGUGAUAUCCUGUCUGAAUAUGGGGGGACCAUCCUCCAAGGCUAAAUACUACUGACUGACCGAUAGUGAACCAGUACCGUGAGGGAAAGGCGAAAAGAACCCCUGUGAGGGGAGUGAAAUAGAACCUGAAACCGUGUACGUACAAGCAGUAGGAGCACCUUCGUGGUGUGACUGCGUACCUUUUGUAUAAUGGGUCAGCGACUUAUAUUCAGUGGCAAGGUUAACCAUCUAGGGGAGCCGUAGGGAAACCGAGUCUUAACUGGGCGUUCAGUCUCUGGAUAUAGACCCGAAACCAGGUGAUCUAGCCAUGGGCAGGUUGAAGGUUGAGUAACAUCAACUGGAGGACCGAACCGACUAAUGUUGAAAAAUUAGCGGAUGACUUGUGGCUAGGGGUGAAAGGCCAAUCAAACCUGGAGAUAGCUGGUUCUCCCCGAAAGCUAUUUAGGUAGCGCCUCGGACGAAUACUACUGGGGGUAGAGCACUGUUAAGGCUAGGGGGUCAUCCCGACUUACCAACCCUUUGCAAACUCCGAAUACCAGUAAGUACUAUCCGGGAGACACACGGCGGGUGCUAACGUCCGUCGUGGAGAGGGAAACAACCCAGACCGCCAGCUAAGGUCCCAAAUUACUACUAAGUGGGAAACGAUGUGGGAAGGCUCAGACAGCCAGGAUGUUGGCUUAGAAGCAGCCAUCAUUUAAAGAAAGCGUAAUAGCUCACUGGUCGAGUCGGCCUGCGCGGAAGAUGUAACGGGGCUAAGUAGUAAACCGAAGCUGCGGCAAUGCACUUUAGUGCAUUGGGUAGGGGAGCGUUCUGUAAGCGGUUGAAGGUGUGUGGUAACGCAUGCUGGACGUAUCAGAAGUGCGAAUGCUGACAUGAGUAACGAUAAAGGGGGUGAAAAACCUCCUCGCCGGAAGACCAAGGGUUCCUGUCCAACGUUAAUCGGGGCAGGGUAAGUCGACCCCUAAGGCGAGGCCGAAAGGCGUAGUCGAUGGGAAACGGGUUAAUAUUCCCGUACUUCUUACAAUUGCGAUGGGGGGACGGAGAAGGCUAGGUGGGCCUGGCGACGGUUGUCCAGGUUCAAGUGCGUAGGCUGAAAUUAGGUAAAUCCGGUUUCUCUUAAGGCUGAGACACGACGUCGAGCUACUACGGUAGUGAAGUCAUUGAUGCCAUGCUUCCAGGAAAAGCCUCUAAGCUUCAGAUUGUAAGGAAUCGUACCCCAAACCGACACAGGUGGUCGGGUAGAGAAUACCAAGGCGCUUGAGAGAACUCGGGUGAAGGAACUAGGCAAAAUGGUACCGUAACUUCGGGAGAAGGUACGCUCUCGACGGUGAAGUCCCUCGCGGAUGGAGCUAUUGAGAGUCGCAGAUACCAGGUGGCUGCAACUGUUUAUUAAAAACACAGCACUGUGCAAAAUCGUAAGAUGACGUAUACGGUGUGACGCCUGCCCGGUGCCGGAAGGUUAAUUGAUGGGGUUAGACUUCGGUCGAAGCUCUUGAUCGAAGCCCCGGUAAACGGCGGCCGUAACUAUAACGGUCCUAAGGUAGCGAAAUUCCUUGUCGGGUAAGUUCCGACCUGCACGAAUGGCGUAAUGAUGGCCACGCUGUCUCCACCCGAGACUCAGUGAAAUUGAAAUCGCUGUGAAGAUGCAGUGUACCCGCGGCUAGACGGAAAGACCCCGUGAACCUUUACUACAGCUUGGCACUGAACAUUGACCCUACAUGUGUAGGAUAGGUGGGAGGCUUUGAAACUAGUACGCCAGUAUUAGUGGAGCCGUCCUUGAAAUACCACCCUUGUAGUGUUGAUGUUCUAACGUUGACCCCUUAUCGGGGUUGCGGACAGUGCCUGGUGGGUAGUUUGACUGGGGCGGUCUCCUCCCAAAGCGUAACGGAGGAGCACGAAGGUGGGCUAAUCACGGUUGGACAUCGUGAGGUUAGUGCAAUGGCAUAAGCCCGCUUGACUGCGAGAAUGACAAUUCGAGCAGGUGCGAAAGCAGGUCAUAGUGAUCCGGUGGUUCUGAAUGGAAGGGCCAUCGCUCAACGGAUAAAAGGUACUCCGGGGAUAACAGGCUGAUACCGCCCAAGAGUUCAUAUCGACGGCGGUGUUUGGCACCUCGAUGUCGGCUCAUCACAUCCUGGGGCUGAAGUCGGUCCCAAGGGUAUGGCUGUUCGCCAUUUAAAGUGGUACGCGAGCUGGGUUUAGAACGUCGUGAGACAGUUCGGUCCCUAUCUGCCGUGGGCGUUGGAAGAUUGAAGGGGGCUGCUCCUAGUACGAGAGGACCGGAGUGGACGAACCUCUGGUGUUCGGGUUGUGUCGCCAGACGCAUUGCCCGGUAGCUAAGUUCGGAAUCGAUAACCGCUGAAAGCAUCUAAGCGGGAAGCGAGCCCUGAGAUGAGUCUUCCCUGAUACUUUAAGUAUCCUGAAGGGUUGUUCGAGACUAGAACGUUGAUAGGCAGGGUGUGUAAGCGUUGUGAGGCGUUGAGCUAACCUGUACUAAUUGCCCGUGAGGCUUAACCAUACAACACCCAAGGGGUUU
rnacentral:rRNA from 1 species